GACGAACGCUGGCGGCGUGCCUAAUACAUGCAAGUCGAACGCAGUGGGGACGGGUGAGUAACACGUGGGUAACCUCCCAUCAGAGGGGAAAACACUGGGAAACAGGUGCUAAACCGCUACUGAUGGAUGAACCCGCGGUGCAUUAGCUAGUUGGUUAGGUAACGGCUCACAAAUGCCACUAUGCAUAGCCGCCCUGAGAGGGUGCGUGGCCACACUGGGCCUGAGCGACGGCCCAGACUCCGUCGGGAGGCAGCAGUAUGGAAUCUUCGGCAAUGGACGAAAGUCUGACCGAGCAACGCCGCGUGAGUAAAGCAGGUUUUCGGAUCGUAACACUCUGUUGUUCGAGAAGCGGUAUCUAACCAGAAAGCCACGGCUAACUACGUGCCAGCAGCCGCGGUAAUUC
rnacentral:rRNA from 1 species